ACAACAACAACAACUAAGCCUUAUUGGUUCUCAUUUUUCAAUACCAACAAUCAUCAAGUUGAAUUUUGCUCCCAAAGAAAUCCUUUCGACUACUCAUAUUGGUUCUUUCUCUCACCCUCCUCUUCAAAAGAGGAAAAAAUAAAGGAAAAAGGACAGCAGGUAGGAUAUUUAUCAAGCCACUAACCAUCAUAUUCUUCAUAGGUAACAAAAACAGAGUUGGGUAAGUCCAAGCAAUAGAAAGAUGGUAGCAAACAUUUUGCAAAGAAAAAAAAUUCAAAAUGCAAUCAACAGAAGAAUAUUCACAUACUCUAUAGUAGCAUACAUCAAAUUUAACAAGCUUUCUGUAAUCAAAAGUUACAUGACAAAGAAUAUAAUCUCUCCUAUGUCACUAUGUCACUUUCUACUUUAAAUGCUCAACACUUUUUGCCGCAUCAUCAAUACUUCUGCACAAAGGCUAAAAGUCUUUUUCUCUACAAUUGAAGAGAAUUAUAGCGUUUCCUGCUUCCAGCAGCAUACUUCUGAAUCCAGACUGAAGUCUAUAGAACUUGAUAUCCACUUAGAUGUAAAUCAUAUCACUCAACUUUCUAUUAAUAGCUAAAUUAAAAUAACAUGUUUAUACAUUUCUUCUAAACUUCCACAAAUUUUGACACUUAUAAAUCAUAACCAAAACUAAACAUAAAUUACCUAACUAAAUUUCUAAGCAAUUUACAUGCUAAUUGUUGGGAAUCAAGUCCCACAUCAGGAGUCAACAAAAAUGAAAGGGUGAACAUAAGUGGUUUAGCUGCAACAAUGAAAAAGCUAGUCAUUUAGAUGUGUAAGCCAAUUUGAUCACUUAUAUAAGCCCAAAUCAAAAUGAAUUAAAAUGUAAUUUGACAAACACACAUUCUGAAUUUAACACUAAUUUUCCCACUUUCACCUCCUAUAACUGCUUUGCAAGGUAGCAACUGAUAGUUCAAUUGCACCAAGAAGCACAACUGCAGAUACGUAAAGUCAUCUGAGUAGAGCGAAGAUAACCAGAAAUAACCCAAAUAUCAAAGAUUUAUUUUGGUGUUUUACAAAAGAUCACCACCCAAAUUUAGCUUAUUCUCCUCCUCCUCUGCAAAAGUUGUUAUUUUUUUAUUUUUUGCCCGUUUCUCAUUGUCUU
rnacentral:misc_RNA from 1 species